rnacentral:pre_miRNA from 1 species
AGCCUUCUAUAUCCGUGCUGAGAUUUCGUCAGCGACCAACCCGCUGGCGUUGAGGCUGAUGAAACUUCCUAAAUAAGUGAAGUG